rnacentral:rRNA from 1 species
CCUACGGGGGGCAGCAGUGAGGAAUAUUGCGCAAUGGGGGAAACCCUGACGCAGCGACGCCGCGUGAGUGAGGAAGGCCUUCGGGUCGUAAAGCUCUGUCAAGAGGAAAGAAGUGUACAAUGGCUAAUACCUGUUGUAUUUGACGGUACCUCUAAAGGAAGCACCGGCUAACUCCGUGCCAGCAGCCGCGGUAAUACGGAGGGUGCAAGCGUUGUCCGGAAUUACUGGGCGUAAAGGGUGCGUAGGCGGCCGCUUAAGUCAGAUGUGAGAGACCACAGCUUAACUGUGGGGUUGCAUUUGAAACUGGGUGGCUUGAGUGUCGGAGAGGGUAGUGGAAUUCCCGGUGUAGCGGUGAAAUGCGUAGAUAUUUGGAGGAACACCAGUGGCGAAGGCGGCUUACUGGGCCGGAACUGACGCUGAGGCACGAAAGCGUGGGGAGCAAACAGGAUUAGAUACCCGAGUAGUC